rnacentral:rRNA from 1 species
GACGAACGCUGGCGGCGUGCUUAACACAUGCAAGUCGAACGGAGUGGCGAACGGGUGAGUAACACGUGGGUGCUCUUCCUUGCACUCUGGGAUAAGCUUGGGAAACUGGGUCUAAUACCGGAUAGUGCAAGGUGUUCUCGCGGCCUAUCAGCUUGCUGGGGGGGUAAUGGCCUACCAAGGCGUCGACGGGUAGUCGGCCUGAGAGGGUGUACGGCCACAUUGGGACUGAGAGACGGACCAGAAUCCGACGGGAGGCAGCAGGGGGGAAUAUUGCACAAUGGGCGGAAGCCUGAUGCAGCGACGCUGCGUGGGGGAUGACGGCUUUCGGGUUGUAAACUCCUUUCGACAGGGACGCGGUACCUGUAUAAGAAGCACCGGCUAACUACGUGCCAGCAGCCGCGGUAAUAC